UACGGAGGGUGCGAGCGUUGUCCGGAAUCAUUGGGCGUAAAGGGCGCGUAGGUGGCCCGGUGAGUCUUUGGUGAAAGCGCGGGGCUCAACCCUGCGUCGGCCAGGGAUACUGCCGCGGCUCGAGCACUGUAGAGGCAGGCGGAAUUCCGGGUGUAGCGGUGGAAUGCGCAGAUAUCAGGAAGAACACCCGUGGCGAAGGCGGCUCUCUGGAACGCAACUGACACUGAGGGACGAAAGCUAGGGGAGCGAAUGGG
rnacentral:rRNA from 1 species